rnacentral:rRNA from 1 species
AUACGUAGGUGGCAAGCGUUGUCCGGAUUUAUUGGGCGUAAAGCGAGCGCAGGCGGUCUCUUAAGUCUGUUGUGAAAGCCCCCGGCUCAACCGGGGAGGGUCAUUGGGAUCUGGGAGACUUGAGUGCAGGAGAGGAGGGGGGAAUUCCAUGUGGAGCGGGGAAAUGCGUAGAUAUAUGGAGGAACACCAGUGGGGAAGGCGGCUCUCUGGUCUGUAACUGACGCUGAGGCUCGAAAGCGUGGGGAGCAAACAGGAUUAGAUCCCCUGGUAGUCCACGCCGUAAACGAUGAGUGCUAAGUGUUGGAGGGUUUCCGCCCUUCAGUGCUGCAGCUAACGCAUUAAGCACUCCGCCUGGGGAGUACGGCCGCAAGGCUGAAACUCAAAUGAAUUGACGGGG